GACGAACGCUGGCGGCGUGCCUAAUACAUGCCAGUAGAACGCUGAAGAGAGGAGCUUGCUCUUCUUGGAUGAGUUGCGAACGGGUGAGUAACGCGUAGGUAACCUGCCUUGUAGCGGGGGAUAACUAUUGGAAACGAUAGCUAAUACCGCAUAACAAUGGAUGACACAUGUCAUUUAUUUGAAAGGGGCAAUUGCUCCACUACAAGAUGGACCUGCGUUGUAUUAGCUAGUAGGUGAGGUAACGGCUCACCUAGGCGACGAUACAUAGCCGACCUGAGAGGGUGAUCGGCCACACUGGGACUGAGACACGGCCCAGACUCCUACGGGAGGCAGCAGUAGGGAAUCUUCGGCAAUGGGGGCAACCCUGACCGAGCAACGCCGCGUGAGUGAAGAAGGUUUUCGGAUCGUAAAGCUCUGUUGUAAGUCAAGAACGAGUGUGAGAGUGGAAAGUUCACACUGUGACGGUAGCUUACCAGAAAGGGACGGCUAACUACGUG
rnacentral:rRNA from 1 species